rnacentral:rRNA from 1 species
CGGCGUUUGCUACGCCGCCUGGGGAAUGGCUCGGUUCGGGUGCCGAAGAAGGUCGUGCCAAGCUGCGAUAUGCGUCGGGUAGGCGCAAGGAGCCUAUGAUCCGAUGAUGACCUAAUGCGACUUCGUAUUCUUCGGAAUGUUCCGUAAGGAACGGGAACGCGGGGGAUCGAAACAUCCUAGUACCCGCAGGAAAAGAAAUCACUAGAGAUACCGUGAGUAAAGGCGAUCGAAAACGGUACAGGGCAAACCGAAUCCCCACCAGUAAUGAUGGGGAGAUGUGGUGUUAUGGGCCUGGUUACAUCCCUACGACCAACCAGAGAUCUGCUGGAACGCAGUACCAUAGAGGGUGAUAGUCCCGUAUGGAUAAAUCAAGGGGAUGAGUUCCGGUGUCCCUGAGUAACGUGCGUUGGAUAUCGCGCGUGAAUUUGGGAAACAUUCAUUUCCAACCCUAAAUACACCCCGAGACCGAUAGCGCAGUAGUAGCGUGAGUGAAAGCUGAAAAGUACCCUUGACGGGAGGUUAAAAGAGCCUGAAACCAGGCGGCUAUAAAUUGUAAGGGCAUGCAAGGGAAACCAGUGUCCUUACGUCCGUUUCGAAAAACGGGCCAUGGAGUUCUGUUCAAUGGCGAGGCUAAGAGGAUAAUCCUCGGAGCCGAAGGGAAACCAACAAGUCCGCAGCCGCAAGGCGAGGGACGAGGUGCGCUCGCCUGGAGUCAUUGGAGGGACACCCGAAGCCAGUUGAUCUAUACCUGGGCAGGUUGAAGCCUUUCGAAAGGAAGGUGGAGGACCGAACCGGUAAUGAUGUGCAAAUCUUUCGGAUAACCUGGGUAUAGGGAUGAAAGGUCAAUCAAAGCUGGAAAUAGCUGGUUCCUCCUGAAACUAAUCGCAGUUAGAUCUCGGCGGAGGUAGAUUGUGUGGUAGAGCACUGAUCGGGGGCUUAGGGGGAGAAAUCCCUCGGCCCCCUGUCAAACUCCGAACAUGCGGUCACCGUAGAGGCCGGGAGUGAGGGCAUCCGGGGUAAGCUUGAUGUCCAUCAGGGAACGUAACCCAGCCAAUAAUUAAGGUCCCCAAGUUUCGGUUAAGUGUAACAAUAAAGGGAGUCUGUAGUCCAAGACAACUGGGAGGUGAGCUUAGAAGCAGCCAUCCUUUAAAGAAAGCGUAACAGCUCACCAGUCGAGAUUAUAGGCCCCGAAAAUGGACGGGGCUAAGCCGAACACCGAUAUUAUUGAGCACCGCAAGGUGAUCUGGUAAGGAGGUGACGGGCGUGGGUGGAAGCUAGGCCGUGAGGUCUUGUGGACCGCGUUCGUAUAAGGAUCAUGGCAGGAGUAGCAGCAAAGAACGGUGAGAAUCCGUUCCGCCGUAGGGGCCAGGGUUCCUCGGCAAUGUUCGUCAGCCGAGGGUUAGCCGAUCCUAAACUACCACUUAAUCGGAAGUAGUGAAAGGGAAACAGGUUAAUAUUCCUGUGCCGCGUCAGACUCUGCGUCGUUCUUGACACAUCGGGAUAGGUAGAGCAAUCUUGUCUGGUUGUUCAAGCGUAUAAACUGAGGAAGAACCGUAAUGGUGUGAACUCGGUGAAAGCGCGAGUAGGAGGACGAAAGUCCUCUUCUGCUGAUUCCUGGUGUCCGUGAAAAUUGAACGAUCUACACCUGACGCGUUCGUACCAAGAACCGACACAGGUGCCCCUAGAUGAUAAGUCUAAGGCGUGUCGGCCUAAUCGAUGCGAGGGAACUCGGCAAAUUAGCCCCGUAACUUCGGGAUAAGGGGUGCCAGCCGCGAGAGUGGCUGGUCGCAGUGGCAAGGGAACUCCGACUGUUUAAUAAAAACACAGAUCGCUGCAAGUCCGAAAGGAUGUGUAUAGCGGUUGAAGCCUGCCCAGUGACGGUAUCUGAAACUCGGGUACAACCGAACGAAGGACCGUUAAACGGCGGGGGUAACUAUGACCCUCUUAAGGUAGCGUAAUACCUUGUCGCUUAAUUGGCGACUUGCAUGAAGGCCCAACGAGAG